rnacentral:rRNA from 1 species
UACGUAGGGGGCAAGCGUUGUCCGGAUUUAUUGGGCGUAAAGAGCUCGUAGGCGGUCUGUCGCGUCUGCCGUGAAAACCCGAGGCUUAACCUCGGGCUGGCGGUGGAUACGGGCAGACUAGAGGUAGGUAGGGGAGAAUGGAAUUCCCGGUGUAGCGGUGAAAUGCGCAGAUAUCGGGAGGAACACCAGUGGCGAAGGCGGAACUCUGGGCCGGAACUGACGCUGAGGAGCGAAAGCGUGGGGAGCGAACAGG